CACCUGUAGCUCAGUGGAUAGAGCGUCUGUUUCCUAAGCAGAAAGUCGUGGGUUUGUUUACCCCUACCUGGUG
rnacentral:tRNA from 1 species